rfam:Cricetulus griseus cell line CHO-K1, whole genome shotgun sequence.
GCCCGGCUAGCUCAGUCAAUAGAGCAUGAGACUCUUAAUGUCAGGGUCGUGGGUUCACCCCACGUUGGGUG